rnacentral:rRNA from 1 species
GACGAACGCUGGCGGCGUGCCUAAUACAUGCAAGUAGAACGCUGAAGAGAGGAGCUUGCUCUUCUUGGAUGAGUUGCGAACGGGUGAGUAACGCGUAGGUAACCUGCCUUGUAGCGGGGGAUAACUAUUGGAAACGAUAGCUAAUACCGCAUAACAAUGGAUGACACAUGUCAUUUAUUUGAAAGGGGCAAUUGCUCCACUACAAGAUGGACCUGCGUUGUAUUAGCUAGUAGGUGAGGUAACGGCUCACCUAGGCGACGAUACAUAGCCGACCUGAGAGGGUGGUCGGCCACACUGGGACUGGGACACGGCCCAGACUCCUACGGGAGGCAGCAGUAGGGAAUCUUCGGCAAUGGGGGCAACCCUGACCGAGCAACGCCGCGGGAGUGAAGAAGGGUCUCGGAUCGUAAAGCUCUGUUGUAAGUCAAGAACGAGUGUGAGAGUGGAAAGUUCACACUGUGACGGUAGCUUACCAGAAAGGGACGGCUAACUACGUG